AGAGUUUGAUCAUGGCUCAGAACGAACGUUGGCGGCGUGGAUUAGGCAUGCAAGUCGAACGAAUCCCACUUGGUGUAGCAAUACAUCGAGUGGGGGAAGUGGCGAAAGGGGCAGUAAUGCGUGGGUAACCUACCCUAGGGACGAGGAUAGCCUUCCUAACGGAAGGAUAAUACUCGGCGUUAUCACCGGGAGGCAUCUUUUGGUGAUGAAAUGAAUUUCGCCCUGGGAGGGGCUCACGUCGUAUUAGCUAGUUGGCGGGGUAACGGCCCACCAAGGCUAAGAUGCGUAGCGGGUAUGAGAGUACGACCCGCGCCACUGGCACUGAGACACUGGCCAGACACCUACGGGUGGCUGCAGUCGAGGAUCUUCGGCAAUGGGCGCAAGCCUGACCGAGCGACGCCGCGUGUGCGAUGAAGGCCUUCGGGUUGUAAAGCACUGUCGAGGGGGAGGAAGCUCCGAAAGGAGUUGACCUAUCCCUGGAGGAAGCACGGGCUAAGUUCGUGCCAGCAGCCGCGGUAAGACGAACCGUGCGAACGUUGUUCGGAAUCACUGGGCUUAAAGGGCGCGUAGGCGGAUCAGCAAGUCCGGGGUGAAAUCUUUCGGCUUAACCGGAAAAGUGCCUUGGAUACUGCUGGUCUCGAGGGAGGUAGGGGUCAUUGGAACUUCUGGUGGAGCGGUGAAAUGCGUUGAUAUCAGAAGGAACGCCGGUGGCGAAAGCGAAUGACUGGAUCUCUUCUGACGCUGAGGCGCGAAAGCUAGGGGAGCGAACGGGAUUAGAUACCCUAGUAGUCC
rnacentral:rRNA from 1 species